AUGGAAACUACCUCGUCGGCCCCUUGGACUCGUCCUCUGCUUCCCAUGUUUUUCGGCCACUCGAGCUCGUCGGUCGCUCGUGCUGCGGCCGUCGCCCGUUCUCAGCUCUCACCGUCGUCGGCAGCGAGAUUGCAGCACAGGCUUCGGUUGGUUCCCAACUUCGACUCUAGCUCUCCACCGGCCGGUCCCCGUGACCUUGGUUGCAACAUCCCAUUAUCACCGCCUCCAGCUCGCCACUUUAGUCGGCUUGCAGCACCAUGUCUCAACAAUCACAGAAAUCAGCAACAAAAAUUCCAAAAAGCUGGUAGCAGCAAAAUAUUAAUGUGUUUCAGCAAAAUAAAUCACCAGUUUGAACAAAAAAUGUGUCGCCGCCCGUUGGUUGUAGCGAAAAAUAUCUCUGAUUCCAGCAAAAACAAAUGCCAGUUCCAGCAAUAUAAAUCACAGGUUCCAGCAAAAAAUGUGUCUCUGCCCGUCGGUUUGAAGCAAAAAAUCUCUCUGAUUCCAGCAAAAACAAAUGCUCAUUCUAGCAAAACUUACAAAGGGUACCAACAAAACUUACAAAGGGUUCCAGCAAAAAUGACUCAAUUGUUGUUUGUUUCAGAACCGAUUAGACCUCGCCGCCUUCUUCUAGCACUGGUGAUUGUCGGUGGCAGCUUCCCAUGUCGACGGUUCCAGCACCGCCAAGUGCCGGUUGUAGCAUCCCAAACACUUGGUGCCGCAUUGGUCUUCCAGCAUCGACGAUUGUGGGUUGCAACUUUUUUGUCGAUGGUUCCAACACCGCGGGGUGCCGGUGGUAGCAUCCCAACACCGGGCGCGCGCCCGGCACCAGCGAUUGCAGGUUGCAGCGCCCCAUGUCGUCCUCUCCAGCACCAUGGGCGGUGGUUGUAG
rnacentral:rRNA from 1 species